rnacentral:rRNA from 1 species
ACCAGCAGCCAUAUCACUCUGCAACUCACAACUGGCAACCCACUGUAACUAAGCAGGUGUGAGCUUGGUCAGUACCUGGAUGGGAGACCUCCUGGGAAAAACUAAGGUUGCUGCUGGAA